UACGGAGGGUGCGAGCGUUGUCCGGAAUCAUUGGGCGUAAAGGGCGCGUAGGUGGCCCGGUCAGCGUGCGGUGAAAGCUCGGGGCUCAACCCCGAGUCGGCCGUGCGAACUGCUGGGCUCGAGCACUGUAGAGGCAGGCGGAAUUCCGGGUGUAGCGGUGGAAUGCGUAGAGAUCCGGAAGAACAUCGGUGGCGAAGGCGGCCUGCUGGGCAGUAGCUGACGCUGAGGCGCGACAGCGUGGGGAGCAAACAGG
rnacentral:rRNA from 1 species